rnacentral:rRNA from 1 species
GUUUGAUCCUGGCUCAGGACGAACGCUGGCGGCGUGCCUAACACAUGCAAGUCGAACGGAACUUCUUUAAAGGAUUUCUUCGGAAUGAAUUUGAUUAAGUUUAGUGGCGGACGGGUGAGUAACGCGUGAGUAACCUGCCUCUAAGAGGGGAAUAACAUUCUGAAAAGAAUGCUAAUACCGCAUAAUAUAUAUUUAUCGCAUGGUAGAUAUAUCAAAGAUUUAUCGCUUAGAGAUGGACUCGCGUCCGAUUAGUUAGUUGGUGAGGUAACGGCUCACCAAGACCGCGAUCGGUAGCCGGACUGAGAGGUUGAACGGCCACAUUGGGACUGAGACACGGCCCAGACUCCUACGGGAGGCAGCAGUGGGGGAUAUUGCGCAAUGGGGGAAACCCUGACGCAGCAACGCCGCGUGAAGGAUGAAGGUCUUCGGAUUGUAAACUUCUUUUAUUAAGGACGAAGAAAGUGACGGUACUUAAUGAAUAAGCUCCGGCUAACUACGUGCCAGCAGCCGCGGUAAUACGUAGGGAGCAAGCGUUGUCCGGAUUUACUGGGUGUAAAGGGUGCGUAGGCGGCUUUGCAAGUCAGAUGUGAAAUCUAUGGGCUCAACCCAUAGCCUGCAUUUGAAACUGCAGAGCUUGAGUGAAGUAGAGGCAGGCGGAAUUCCCCGUGUAGCGGUGAAAUGCGUAGAGAUGGGGAGGAACACCAGUGGCGAAGGCGGCCUGCUGGGCUUUAACUGACGCUGAGGCACGAAAGCGUGGGUAGCAAACAGGAUUAGAUACCCUGGUAGUCCACGCUGUAAACGAUGAUUACUAGGUGUGGGGGGUCUGACCCCUUCCGUGCCGGAGUUAACACAAUAAGUAAUCCACCUGGGGAGUACGG